rnacentral:rRNA from 1 species
GGGGAAUUUUCCGCAAUGGGCGAAAGCCUGACGGAGCGACGCCGCGUGUGGGAAGAAGUCCUUCGGGAUGUAAACCACUGUCAGGGGUUACCAAGCAAACGGGUCGAAUAGACUCGCGCGUUGAGGAGCCCCAGAGGAAGCCACGGCUAACUUCGUGCCAGCAGCCGCGGUAAGACGAAGGUGGCGAGCGUUGUUCGGAAUUAUUGGGCUUAAAGGGCACGUAGGCGGCCCAUCAAGUGUCUUGUGAAAUCCCUCGGCUCAACCGAGGAAUGGCUGGGCAAACUGAUGGGCUUGAGGCAGGUAUGGGCGCGCGGAACUCUUGGUGGAGCGGUGAUAUGCGUA